rnacentral:misc_RNA from 1 species
GAUGAAGAACGCAGCGAAAUGCGAUAAGUAGUGUGAAUUGCAGAAUUCAGUGAAUCAUCGAAUCUUUGAACGCACAUUGCGCCCUUUGGUAUUCCUUAGGGCAUGCCUGUUCGAGCGUCAUUUAAACCUUCAAGCUCAGCUUGGUGAUGGGUGACUGUCCCCCCCUCGCGGGGGGACUCGCCUCAAAAACAUUGGCGGCCGGUACAUUGGCUUCGAGCGCAGCAGAAACGCGGUCUCGAGCCCGGUGGAUCGGCUCCCAUAAGUCUAUUCUUUUAUUUUGACCUCGGAUCAGGUAGGGAUACCCGCUGAACUUAAGCAUAUCAUAAGCGGAGGA